rnacentral:rRNA from 1 species
AGCAGCCGCGGUAAUUCCAGCUCCAAUAGCGUAUAUUAAAGUUGUUGCAGUUAAAAAGCUCGUAGUUGAAUUUCGGGGUCAAUAAGUUGGUCAUGCCAAUGGUAUGCACUGGCUUUAUUGAUUCCUACCUCUUGACGAACUGUGAUGCCAUUAAUUUGGUGUUGCAAGGAAUCAGGACUGUUACCUUGAAAAAAUUAGAGUGUUUAAAGCAAGCUUACGCUUGAAUACAUUAGCAUGGAAUAAUGAAAUAGGACGUUUGAUCCUAUUUUGUUGGUUUCUAGGAUCGACGUAAUGAUUAAUAGGGAUAGUUGGGGGCAUUAGUAUUCAAUUGUCAGAGGUGAAAUUCUUGGAUUUAUUGAAGACUAACUACUGCGAAAGCAUUUGCCAAGGAUGUUUUCAUUAAUCAAGAACGAAAGUUAGGGGAUCGAAGACGAUCAGAUACCGUCGUAGUCUUAACCAUAAACUAUAGCC